rnacentral:tRNA from 1 species
GACCCGCCCCUGCGGCGUUCGCGGGUGGCGGGCUUCCGGUCCGCCCGCGCGCGCCGCGGGUGGGUGCGGUGCCAGUACGCGGCGGUCUC